GUUAAUGUUUGGAGUGUGCGUAUUUGAGAUAGGUCUGGAGAAGAAAGGUCACGGAGAAGGGGUGAUCCUGAGAAGAGUGUGCCUGUUUUGGAGAGUGUGGGAACUAACUCUUCAGGCUGUUGGCAUUCAUUCAUUUCUCUGAGAGCGCCUGAGUGGUUUUGUCCUAAGCGCAGGCCAUGAAUGAACGAGGAGGCUCAGGAGGUCAGAAAGGCCCCUUGAAAGUGGCACCUGGGCUUCCCUCCAGUUUGAGUGGGAGUGACUGACUUAGCAAGGAGACUGGCAUCCAAGCCUCAGACGAGAAUACAACACCGACAUGGAGGCCACACAAAUGCCAGGUGACACGGAGUUCAGGAUAGAACCAAGACUGAAGAGCACACGUUGGCAGGAUUCCCGGCUAGGUUCACUCUGACCUCAAAACUAACACAGAAAUGACUGAGUGACAAAAAAUAAAGAGAAUAUGAGCCACUGUA